rfam:Xenorhabdus vietnamensis strain DSM 22392 Xvie_5, whole genome shotgun sequence.
AUUUCUCUGAGAUGUUCGUGAACAGGUAAGUCCCCUGAGCCGAUAUUUCAUUUCCAUAGAAUGUGGUGCUCUGUUUCUUGUGAGCAUGCUUGGCCUAGACCAAGAAGCCUAAUAGAAACGACGCUGCGUUCACCUUGAACCAAGGGUUCAAGGGUUACCACCUGUAACGGCAUCUUGGAGAACCU